GACGAACGCUGGCGGCGUGCUUAACACAUGCAAGUCGAACGGAAAGGCCCUGCUUUUGUGGGGUGCUCGAGUGGCGAACGGGUGAGUAACACGUGAGUAACCUGCCCUUUACUUUGGGAUAACUUCAGGAAACUGGGGCUAAUACCGGAUAGGAGCUCCUGCUGCAUGGUGGGGGUUGGAAAGUUUCGGCGGUUGGGGAUGGACUCGCGGGUUAUCAGCUUGUUGGUGGGGUAGUGGCUUACCAAGGCUUUGGCGGGUAGCCGGCCUGAGAGGGUGACCGGGCCACGUGGGAGACGGCUACGGGCGGCAGCCCUAAGGGAGGGAGGGCGGGGGGAGCGAGGCAGAAGGGGCGAAGCCGCGUGCAGGAAAGCCGCGUGGGGGGUUGUGGGCUUCCGGUUUGCAAACAGAUUAGCGUUUACGCGAACCUUGAUGCAAGUAACGGGUGAAGAAGCAACGGCUAACUCCGUG
rnacentral:rRNA from 1 species